AUGGAGGGAGGCAGGGAAUGCACUUUGUCACCGGCAGUGGCCGCUCAGGAGGAUUUGCUGCUGAUUACUUGGUUUAAAUGGGAUUCGGCAGCAGGAAUGAGCUGUGGUGGUGGUGACCAGGACCUGCUCCACGGGGAGGAGCAGGCUCUGACUGUUGCUCCUCACGAGGGCAAAGGCAGCAGCGGCUUUGCCGGAGGGAACUGGCAAGGCAAGACCCCGGAGUGCCGGAGAGCUGGGAGAGCCGGGGGUCUCCAAGGAUGGAGCUGCCACCAAGGGGGUCAAGAAGUCAAGUUUCAGCUCCUCUGCUCAGUCCUCAGUGACACAUGGCCUGGAUCAGCUGCUGCACAGGCAGGGAAAGUCAUCGGGGAAAGUUAUCAGGGAAAGCCAGCAGGGAAAGCUGGAAGGGAAAGCCGGCAGGUGGCUGACAAGGACCCACUGGAUUUUACAUAUUUUGUUUUUACAAGGCAGGAAUUUUGCAGCUGAAACUCCAAACUGAGCCUCUUUCCUGGGUGCUUUUCACUGACUCUCUCCCCCCACCAUUUCCAAACAUGUGAGCCCACUCGGGAGGGACUUCAAUGGCCUGUGAAGCCUUUCCAGUUCCCUGCCUGAAUUCCUCAUUUCUGGAGACUGCAGGGUGACACACAUGUCCCCACCUGGGGUUCUGCUGCAGCUGACAGAUGGUGGCUGCUCCCAGUAUGAAAACACAAGUCCAAUAUUGCUCCUAAUGGCCUUGGACUUUGCAUCUGAGCCCCCCGCCCUUGGUGCCAGGGCUGAGCGGGAGGACGUGGCAGCGCUGCCAACCAGAAACUUCCCAAUUCCCUGGUGAACAAACAGAACCACAACAUGCCAUAUCCUGCUGAUCACAGGCUAUUCCCAGUUAGCAGCCAGCUACUGCUGAACUGGUUUCCAGUUUCAAACAGUAACUUUUUACACCCUUGACCAGAACUCAUUGAAGAACAGAAUUAAUCUGGAUAUUGACCCUGACCCCGACCCACUGUGACCCCCCCCCCGUGCCUCUAAGCCAAGUUUGAAACACCUGUUUGGAUAUUUGUUUUGUACAGUAAAUAUAUACAAAGAAAAGUAACACAGACACCACUUAACUUCCUUGUGAAUUUGGCACUUUCCAUGGAACAUGGACUGGAAAGCUCCUCAGCAGGAGCCCAACCCUCCCCACCACCCACCCACCCUCGACAGAUUCUGUGUUAGCUCCGGAAGAACGAGAUAAAUAACUCCUCAGAACGAGAGAAAUAACUCCUCAGCUACUGUUUUCUAAGAGGAAAAGGUGUCCUGGGCUUUCCCAGCAGAGCCAGCACCCGGCACCAAGGCUUAGAGAGGGCAUUUAUUCAUCUUCCCCACGUGUAGGUGAUGUGGUAACAACCUUCCUUUCUUCUGGCUUAGAGGGAACACUGCUUUUAGAAACCCUGGGACAGGUAAGACAAGAACCAAUACCACUGUACAGAAUUCACUGCACAACGAGCUAAUAAAGGGACCCAGCACUGACUGGCCA
rnacentral:lncRNA from 1 species